GAUGAACGCUAGCUACAGGCUUAACACAUGCAAGUCGAGGGGAAACGAUAUUGGAAGCUUGCUUCCGAUAGGCGUCGACCGGCGCACGGGUGAGUAGCGCGUAUCCAACCUGCCCACCACUUGGGAAUAACCUUGCGAAAGUAAGACUAAUGCCCAAUGAUAUCUCUAGAAGACAUCUGAAAGAGAUUAAAGAUUUAUCGGUGAUGGAUGGGGAUGCGUCUGAUUAGCUUGUUGGCGGGGUAACGGCCCACCAAGGCGACGAUCAGUAGGGGUUCUGAGAGGAAGGUCCCCCACAUUGGAACGGAGACACGGUCCAAACUCCUACGGGAGGCAGCAGUGAGGAAUAUUGGUCAAUGGGCGAGAGCCUGAACCAGCCAAGUAGCGUGCAGGAUGACGGCCCUAUGGGUUGUAAACUGCUUUUAUAAGGGAAUAAAGUGAGCCUCGUGAGGCUUUUUGCAUGUACCUUAUGAAUAAGGACCGGCUAAUUCCGUGCCAGCAGCCGCCGUAA
rnacentral:rRNA from 1 species